rnacentral:rRNA from 1 species
UGCUGGAGGUAUCAGAAGUGCGAAUGCUGACAUAAGUAACGAUAAAGCGGGUGAAAAGCCCGCUCGCCGGAAGACCAAGGGUUCCUGUCCAACGUUAAUCGGGGCAGGGUGAGUCGACCCCUAAGGCGAGGCCGAAAGGCGUAGUCGAUGGGAAACGGGUUAAUAUUCCCGUACUUGGUGUUACUGCGAAGGGGGGACGGAGAAGGCUAUGUUGGCCGGGCGACGGUUGUCCCGGUUUAAGCGUGUAGGCUGGUUUUCCAGGCAAAUCCGGAAAAUCAAGGCUGAGGCGUAACGACGAGGCACUACGGUGCUGAAGCAACAAAUGCCCUGCUUCCAGGAAAAGCCUCUAAGCAUCAGGUAACAUCAAAUCGUACCCCAAACCGACACAGGUGGUCAGGUAGAGAAUACCAAGGCGCUUGAGAGAACUCGGGUGAAGGAACUAGGCAAAAUGGUGCCGUAACUUCGGGAGAAGGCACGCUGACACGUAGGUGAAGUGAUUUACUCAUGGAGCUGAAGUCAGUCGAAGAUACCAGCUGGCUGCA